ACGAUGUGUGUAUGUGUGUGUGUGUGUGUGUGUGUGUACACACACACACACAUACAUAUAUCACAUUUG